UGUUCUGUUAUUUUCUGUCUAACUGUUCUUGUCAGCGGCCACCUGCCGACACAGCUGCGGCUCGUUUGUUUAUCAGUUCCGAACAGUUUUCCUCCUGAGCUGGUUGUGGUGCUGAGCUGCAGCUACACGUGUUACCUGUCUACCUGUUUCCUCAUGUGAUCGCCUGACUGGAAACAAAGGCCACGUUUAGAUUUGUUUUUCUAAGUUGGCUCUCCAGUCCGGUUGCAGCAGCCAGAACCAUCUGAGGAGAAGCUCACGGCGUCCUGCAGACAGGACGAGGGACAGCCAGCAGUUUAUAGUUCAGGCCAAUCACCAGCGAGCAGAAUUGACGGACAUCCACAAAGUCGCAGCAGAGGAUGUUGACGUCGCACGCCGCACAGCCUGGACGCUGCUCGCUCGCCCAGCAGAGCAGCAGCGAGAGAGCACUCAUCGUCAUCUUCCUCAUGUCCUGGAGGGGAUGAAGGAGCACGUAAGGAGCGUCCUCUGUCAGGUUCAGACCGCUGGCGUAAAAACCAGCUGGAAAGACAAACAGCUGCAUACCUGGUCUUCCUUGGUGCUUCUGCUGCUCCAGCUCAGGGUGCUGCAGCACCAUCUGCUGGUUGCCAUAGGAAACAAUGACCUGCUGACCUCUGGACCAACAGGAGCGCAGAGUGGGAAUGUCCUGCACAUCAACACAUGUACACAAAUCCCUGACUGUGUAUCGGCCCACUCACCUGGGAGGAGCAGAGUUUCUUUGCGAACAGGGUGAUGAUGUACUCUACGAGGUGAAAAUGAUCUUCAUCGGUCAUCGAUUCGAAGUGCGAGCAGGAAACGAUUACAAUCUCUUUCGGAUGAUCGUCCAGCCAGUCAUCAGUGUGUAGAUUCCGUGAGCGAAGAACAGUGUGUUGCCUGCUGCUGGUUUCCUGACGAUCCGCAGGUCCAAGAAACGAACACCAAGAUCACACUGAUCACUGAGGACCGAUUGCUGAACACACACAGGGAGAAGAGAAAGAGAAUUAAUAUAAGAUAAAUGGGGAAAAGUA